UUGGUCUGUCAAGCUUUAGUACGGGUGUGAGACGAGGGAAGAUCUUUAGAGGAGGCAUCUUUGUAGGUGUCUGAUUUGUUUGCAGAUUAUCGUUGGUGUGACCAAUCUUCAGAUCCAGAGUUUGGCAAAGCCAAAGAAGGCAGAUCAUGAACGCUUGCUCCUAGCCCCAGUUGUGGCAGAGACACGAAAAAGAAUGGUCAUAGCAUAUGGAAGGAAUGACCCAUCUUCCUUACUUGUUCAAGGGAGAAAAAGAGGUGAUAAUGUAAGUAGGUCAAGUAAUUGAAGGAGCUCUAGCAGUGAAA